AUCGUUAAUGAAAGGAGAGAUGGUUGGCAUAUCCUCCCUCGACAGGGACGGGAAUAACCUUCGGGCUUAAUUACCAGUUAUCAGACACAUCCAGCUAAGGCUAUCCACUUCGGUGGAUCUUACCCAAAUUUUGU
rfam:Solanum lycopersicum cultivar Heinz 1706 chromosome 12, whole genome shotgun sequence.